UGCCCGGAAUCCCAGCACUUUGGGAGGCUGAGGUGGGCAGGCACAGAUCCCUUGAGCUCAGGAGUUUGAGAUUAUCCUGGGCGACAUGAUGAA